rnacentral:rRNA from 1 species
GUAGCUAAUACCGCAUAAUGUCGCAAGACCAAAGUGGGGGACCUUCGGGCCUCAUGCCAUCAGAUGUGCCCAGAUGGGAUUAGCUAGUAGGUGGGGUAACGGCUCACCUAGGCGACGAUCCCUAGCUGGUCUGAGAGGAUGACCAGCCACACUGGAACUGAGACACGGUCCAGACUCCUACGGGAGGCAGCAGUGGGGAAUAUUGCACAAUGGGCGCAAGCCUGAUGCAGCCAUGCCGCGUGUGUGAAGAAGGCCUUCGGGUUGUAAAGCACUUUCAGCGGGGAGGAAGGCGUUAAGGUUAAUAACCUUGGCGAUUGACGUUACCCGCAGAAGAAGCACCGGCUAACUCCGUGCCAGCAGCCGCGGUAAUACGGAGGGUGCAAGCGUUAAUCGGAAUUACUGGGCGUAAAGCGCACGCAGGCGGUCUG